rnacentral:rRNA from 1 species
UCGAGGAUCUUCGGCAAUGGGCGCAAGCCUGACCGAGCGAUGCCGCGUGUGCGACGAAGGCCUUCGGGUUGUAAAGCACUGUCGAGAGGGAGAAAAGCGAAAGCUUGAUCUAUCUCUGGAGGAAGGGCGGGCUAAGUUCGUGCCAGCAGCCGCGGUAAGACGAACCGCCCGAACGUUAUUCGGAAUCACUGGGCUUAAAGGGAGCGUAGGCGGGCUGCCAAGUCCGGGGUGAAAUCCUCCAGCUUAACUGGAGAACUGCCUCGGAUACUGGAAGUCUCGAGGAGGGUAGGGGCAAGUGGAACCGUGGGUGGAGCGGUGAAAUGCGUUGAUAUCCAUGGGAACUCCGGUGGCGAAGGCGACUUGCUGGACCCUUUCUGACGCUGAGGCUCGAAAGCCAGGGGAGCAAACGG